rnacentral:lncRNA from 1 species
UUCAAUUUUCUUCUAUGCCUCUGGUGUCUUCUACCUCUCAUCUUCUCUCAUUUCUGCUCGUGCCUCAUCCUCUCGCCUCAAUUUUUUGACGUGAUUUUUGUGCUAAAUGCUUGUAUUGAAGGAAGAGAUUCCCAGUUACAAGGUUUGCUGAACUUAUAAUUUAAAGUUGCCAUUUAAUUAUCCAACUUGAAGAAGUUGUAUGGCGUAAGCAUAUGGUGUAUGCAAUUCCAUUCUUUAAAAUAUAUCCCUUGAAAUUUGACCUCAAAAAAUACGUUUACCGAGAGCAUAUUCAAUUGAUCACUGGAGUUAACCUGGUUAUUGUUUAUAUCAUUAUGCACCAACAGCCGGAAACAAUUCUAUAUUUAAUUGAUUCAUUUUUCUGUUCCAGUUUUACAUUAGUUUGGACGUCGAAGUUCUGAAUAUGUUGAAUUAAUAUUUGGGUUCUGUGUUUUGCUUUCGAG